GAUGAACGCUGGCGGCGUGCCUAAUACAUGCAAGUCGAGCGAACAGACGAGGAGCUUGCUCCUCUGACGUUAGCGGCGGACGGGUGAGUAACACGUGGAUAACCUACCUAUAAGACUGGGAUAACUUCGGGAAACCGGAGCUAAUACCGGAUAAUAUAUUGAACCGCAUGGUUCAAUAGUGAAAGACGGUUUUGCUGUCACUUAUAGAUGGAUCCGCGCCGCAUUAGCUAGUUGGUAAGGUAACGGCUUACCAAGGCGACGAUGCGUAGCCGACCUGAGAGGGUGAUCGGCCACACUGGAACUGAGACACGGUCCAGACUCCUACGGGAGGCAGCAGUAGGGAAUCUUCCGCAAUGGGCGAGAGCCUGACGGAGCAACGCCGCGUGAGUGAUGAAGGUCUUCGGAUCGUAAAACUCUGUUAUUAGGGAAGAACAAAUGUGUAAGUAACUAUGCACGUCUUGACGGUACCUAAUAAGAAAGCCACGGCUAACUACGUG
rnacentral:rRNA from 1 species